rnacentral:rRNA from 1 species
GAUGAACGCUGGCGGCGUGCUUAACACAUGCAAGUCGAACGAAGCAUUUGCGACAGAUUUUUUCGGAAUGAAGUUGCUUAUGACUGAGUGGCGGACGGGUGAGUAACGCGUGGGUAACCUGCCUUGUACUGGGGGAUAGCAGCUGGAAACGGCCGGUAAUACCGCAUAAGCGCACAAUGUUGCAUGACAUGGUGUGAAAAACUCCGGUGGUAUAAGAUGGACCCGCGUCUGAUUAGCUAGUUGGUGAGAUAACAGCCCACCAAGGCGACGAUCAGUAGCCGACCUGAGAGGGUGACCGGCCACAUUGGGACUGAGACACGGCCCAGACUCCUACGGGAAGCAGCAGUGGGGAAUAUUGCACAAUGGAGGAAACUCUGAUGCAGCGACGCCGCGUGAGUGAAGAAGUAAUUCGUUAUGUAAAGCUCUAUCAGCAGGGAAGAUAGUGACGGUACCUGACUAAGAAGCUCCGGCUAAAUACGUG